ACUACAUGAAGCUGGAAUCGCUAGUAAUCGCGGAUCAGAAUGCCGCGGUGAAUACGUUCCCGGGUCUUGUACACACCGCCCGUCACACCAUGGGAGUCGGAAAUGCCCGAAGUCAGUGACCCAACCGUAAGGAGGGAGCUGCCGAAGGUGGAGCCGGUAACUGGGGUGAAGUCGUAACAAGGUACC
rnacentral:rRNA from 1 species